rnacentral:SRP_RNA from 1 species
CUCUCGGAGUCUGCGCGACGUUCGUCUUUGAACUUGGUCAGGUCGAAAGAAGCAGCCAUAAGAAGUAAUGGGCGUGUGCGUGUGAUUCCGGGGGUCU